rnacentral:rRNA from 1 species
AGCGGCGGACGGGUGAGUAAUGCCUAGGAAAUUGCCCUGAUGUGGGGGAUAACCAUUGGAAACGAUGGCUAAUACCGCAUGAUGCCUACGGGCCAAAGAGGGGGACCUUCGGGCCUCUCGCGUCAGGAUAUGCCUAGGUGGGAUUAGCUAGUUGGUGAGGUAAGGGCUCACCAAGGCGACGAUCCCUAGCUGGUCUGAGAGGAUGAUCAGCCACACUGGAACUGAGACACGGUCCAGACUCCUACGGGAGGCAGCAGUGGGGAAUAUUGCACAAUGGGCGCAAGCCUGAUGCAGCCAUGCCGCGUGUGUGAAGAAGGCCUUCGGGUUGUAAAGCACUUUCAGUCGUGAGGAAGGUGGUGUAGUUAAUAGCUGCAUUAUUUGACGUUAGCGACAGAAGAAGCACCGGCUAACUCCGUGCCAGCAGCCGCGGUAAUACGGAGGGUGCGAGCGUUAAUCGGAAUUACUGGGCGUAAAGCGCAUGCAGGUGGUUUGUUAAGUCAGAUGUGAAAGCCCGGGGCUCAACCUCGGAAUAGCAUUUGAAACUGGCAGACUAGAGUACUGUAGAGGGGGGUAGAAUUUCAGGUGUAGCGGUGAAAUGCGUAGAGAUCUGAAGGAAUACCGGUGGCGAAGGCGGCCCCCUGGACAGAUACUGACACUCAGAUGCGAAAGCGUGGGGAGCAAACAGGAUUAGAUACCCUGGUAGUCCACGCCGUAAACGAUGUCUACUUGGAGGUUGUGGCCUUGAGCCGUGGCUUUCGGAGCUAACGCGUUAAGUAGACCGCCUGGGGAGUACGGUCGCAAGAUUAAAACUCAAAUGAAUUGACGGGGGCCCGCACAAGCGGUGGAGCAUGUGGUUUAAUUCGAUGCAACGCGAAGAACCUUACCUACUCUUGACAUCCAGAGAACUUUCCAGAGAUGGAUUGGUGCCUUCGGGAACUCUGAGACAGGUGCUGCAUGGCUGUCGUCAGCUCGUGUUGUGAAAUGUUGGGUUAAGUCCCGCAACGAGCGCAACCCUUAUCCUUGUUUGCCAGCGAGUAAUGUCGGGAACUCCAGGGAGACUGCCGGUGAUAAACCGGAGGAAGGUGGGGACGACGUCAAGUCAUCAUGGCCCUUACGAGUAGGGCUACACACGUGCUACAAUGGCGCAUACAGAGGGCGGCCAACUUGCGAAAGUGAGCGAAUCCCAAAAAGUGCGUCGUAGUCCGGAUUGGAGUCUGCAACUCGACUCCAUGAAGUCGGAAUCGCUAGUAAUCGUGGAUCAGAAUGCCACGGUGAAUACGUUCCCGGGCCUUGUACACACCGCCCGUCACACCAUGGGAGUGGGCUGCAAAAGAAGUAGGUAG